rnacentral:rRNA from 1 species
GACGAACGCUGGCGGCGUGCCUAAUACAUGCAAGUAGAACGCUGAAGGAGGAGCUUGCUUCUCUGGAUGAGUUGCGAACGGGUGAGUAACGCGUAGGUAACCUGCCUGGUAGCGGGGGAUAACUAUUGGAAACGAUAGCUAAUACCGCAUAAUAGCAGUUGUUGCAUGACAACUGUUUGAAAGGUGCAAUUGCACCACUACCAGAUGGACCUGCGUUGUAUUAGCUAGUUGGUGGGGUAACGGCUCACCAAGGCGACGAUACAUAGCCACCUGAGAGGGUGAUCGGCCACACUGGGACUGAGACACGGCCCAGACUCCUACGGGAGGCAGCAGUAGGGAAUCUUCGGCAAUGGACGGAAGUCUGACCGAGCAACGCCGCGUGAGUGAAGAAGGUUUUCGGAUCGUAAAGCUCUGUUGUAAGAGAAGAACGAGUGUGAGAGUGGAAAGUUCACACUGUGACGGUAUCUUACCAGAAAGGGACGGCUAACUACGUG